UACAGAGGUCUCAAGCGUUGUUCGGAUUCAUUGGGCGUAAAGGGCGCGUAGGCGGCGGGGUAAGUCGGGUGUGAAAUCUCAGGGCUCAACCCUGAAACUGCACUCGAUACUGCUCUGCUUGAGGACUGGAGAGGGGACUGGAAUUCACGGUGUAGCAGUGAAAUGCGUAGAUAUCGUGAGGAAGACCAGUGGCGAAGGCGGGUCUCUGGACAGUUCCUGACGCUGAGGCGCGAAGGCCAGGGGAGCAAACGGG
rnacentral:rRNA from 1 species